rnacentral:rRNA from 1 species
UACGGGGGGGGCAAGCGUUGUUCGGAAUUACUGGGCGUAAGGGGCUCGUAGGUGGCCAACUAAGUCAGACGUGAAAUCCCUCGGCUUAACCGGGGAACUGCGUCUGAUACUGGAUGGCUUGAGUUCGGGAGAGGGAUGCGGAAUUCCAGGUGUAGCGGUGAAAUGCGUAGAUAUCUGGAGGAACACCGGUGGCGAAGGCGGCAUCCUGGACCGACACUGACGCUGAGGAGCGAAAGCCAGGGGAGCAAACGGGG